rnacentral:rRNA from 1 species
GUUUGAUCAUGGCUCAGAUUGAACGCUGGCGGCAGGCCUAACACAUGCAAGUCGAGCGGUAGAUGCUUUCGGGCAUUGAGAGCGGCGGACGGGUGAGUAACGCGUGGGAAUCUGGCUCUUAGAGGGGGACAACUUGUGGAAACGCAAGCUAAUACCGCAUACGCCCCAAGGGGGAAAGCAGGGGAUCUUCGGACCUUGCGCUAAGAGAUGAGCCCGCGUCGGAUUAGCUAGUUGGUAGGGUAAAGGCCUACCAAGGCGACGAUCCGUAACUGGUCUGAGAGGAUGAUCAGUCACACUGGAACUGAGACACGGUCCAGACUCCUACGGGAGGCAGCAGUGGGGAAUAUUGGACAAUGGGGGCAACCCUGAUCCAGCCAUGCCGCGUGUGUGAAGAAGGCCU